AGGACGAACGCUGGCGGCGUGCUUAACACAUGCAAGUCGAGCGAGGCUCCUCCUUCGGGAGGAUGCCCUAGCGGCGAACGGGUGAGUAACACGUGGGCAACCUGCCCCUAGCACUGGGAUAACCCCGGGAAACCGGGGCUAAUACCGGAUACGACUUCGGAGGGCAUCCUCUGAAGUGGAAAAAUUUAUUGGCUAGGGAUGGGCCCGCGGCCUAUCAGCUUGUUGGUGGGGUAACGGCCUACCAAGGCGUCGACGGGUAGCCGGCCUGAGAGGGCGACCGGCCACACUGGGACUGAGACACGGCCCAGACUCCUACGGGAGGCAGCAGUGGGGAAUAUUGCACAAUGGGCGAAAGCCUGAUGCAGCGACGCCGCGUGAGGGAUGACUGCCUUCGGGUUGUAAACCUCUUUCAGCAGGGACGAAGCGAAAGUGACGGUACCUGCAGAAGAAGCACCGGCAACUACGUGCCAGCAGCCGC
rnacentral:rRNA from 1 species